rnacentral:rRNA from 1 species
CCAGCUCCAAUAGCGUAUAUUAAAGUUGUUGCAGUUAAAAGGCUCGUAGUCGAACUUUUGGUCCUCUAGGUUUGUCCCGUUCUCUUGUAGAACGUUGUGACGAUUCUUAGGACCUUCCUGGUAGAAAGCGUUUCUGCCCUUUAUUGGGUUGGUUGCGCGAUCUGCCUCUUUUACUGUGAGAAAAACAAAGUGCUCAAAGCAGGCUUUACAGCUUGAAUGCGUUAGCAUGGAAUAAUAAGAUAGGACUUUGUUUCUAUUUUGUUGGCUCUGAGGAACAAAGUAAUGAUUGAUAGGGAUAGUUGGGGGUGCUCGUAUUUAACGGUCAGCGGUGAAAUGCAUGGACCCGUUAAAGACGAACCUAUGCGAAAGCAUUCACCAAGGAUAUCUUCU